GGCUCGAUAGUGUAGUGGUCUAACACACACUGCCCCGGAUAGGCCCGAGACGCGGGUUAGAAUCCCGCCUGAGCCG
rnacentral:tRNA from 1 species